GAUGAACGCUGGCGGCGUGCCUAAUACAUGCAAGUCGAGCGAACAGACGAGGAGCUUGCUCCUCUGACGUUAGCGGCGGACGGGUGAGUAACACGUGGAUAACCUACCUAUAAGACUGGGAUAACUUCGGGAAACCGGAGCUAAUACCGGAUAAUAUAUUGAACCGCAUGGUUCAAUAGUGAAAGACGGUUUUGCUGUCACUUAUAGAUGGAUCCGCGCCGCAUUAGCUAGUUGGUAAGGUAACGGCUUACCAAGGCGACGAUGCGUAGCCGACCUGAGAGGGUGAGCGGCCACACUGAAACUGAGACACGGUCCAGACUCCUACGGGAGGCAGCAGUAGGGAAUCUUCCGAAAGGGGCGAAAGCCUGACGGAGCAACGCCGCAUGAGGGAUGAAGGUCUUCGGAUCGUAAAACUCUGUUAUUAGGGAAGAACAAAUGUGUAAGUAACUAUGCACGUCUAGACGGUACCUAAACAGAAAGCCACGGCUAACUACG
rnacentral:rRNA from 1 species